rnacentral:tRNA from 2 species
GCCUCGGGUUUGACAGAAAUUUCUCUGUAAGGCGUUGUUUUCGGCGCUUCACACGUGGAUUGAAAAUCCGCGUGUCGGUGGUUCAAAUCCGCCUCCGGGCACCA